UACGAAGGGGGCUAGCGUUGUUCGGAAUCACUGGGCGUAAAGGGCGCGUAGGCGGCCCGUCAAGUCAGGCGUGAAAGCCCCGGGCUCAACCCGGGAACAGCGCUUGGGACUGGCGGGCUCGAGUUCGGGAGAGGAUGGUGGAAUUCCCAGUGUAGAGGUGAAAUUCGUAGAUAUUGGGAAGAACACCGGUGGCGAAGGCGACCAUCUGGACCGACACUGACGCUGAGGCGCGACAGCGUGGGGAGCAAACAGG
rnacentral:rRNA from 1 species